UCAAGAGAAUAUUGGUGGAUUUCAAGGAAUUAAGCAAGUAAAGGUGAUGAAACUUUCGAUAAGGGUAAAGGGAUUGUACCCGAAGAUCGGGACUAGGAGUACUUCGACUCUCGAUAUUCUCAGGAUAGUUUGUAGAUAUUUGAUUUUAUCGAGGGCUACAGUUGGAUUUGCAUCCUCAAAAAUCGUAGGUUCGCAGCUUUCGUUACCUUUGAUCAUUCGGGGGCCCACAUGUCAUUGUAAAUUAAAUUACACACUCUGGUUCACUGUGUUAUUGUAUGAACGAAUUUAUUUUGCUUUUACACUACAAAAAUUAUUUACGGAUAACUCUAUAAAUAUUG